GGGUAGAGGGUAGAACCCAGGGUAGCCUUAAAAGCCCACCACCCUAUGACCAUGGAGGCUACCCACCCUUCUUCAGCCCCAAAUCUUACCAGGCCAGGAUUCCUGGGGUAUAGUUGAGGCUGGGGCUGGGGCUUCUGUCCUGGGCACCUGGCUGUAAGAUCUGCCAUUCAAGGCCCUGCCUGGCUGAGGCUUUGGGCAUGGUCCCUCUGGGGUAGGGGUAGGAAGGGGUGCUUCCCCUAAGUAGGGUACAGCUAUCUGGGCUGCUGUAGAGUGUAGUAGCAGAGUGUGCUCCGGCUCCUAGGGCAGACUUUGGGUCUCCUCUUAUCCAAGAGAACCAUGGGUAAGGCAGAGCCAUCUUGGUUAGCUUCUCCCUCCCACUGAGAAACAAGCUGCGGGACCUAUACCAUGUCUAAACCAUUUAGCAUCCCAAACCCAAAACAUAACCAGACCCAAAAGAUGGGAGACAGAGGCAAAGGAAGCAGGGCCGAGAAUGUUUAUUUCCAUGCUCAAAGGCAGUGCAGACCUGGCAGACAGUAGUACCACAGGGCCAAGAAGGAAGGCAGUGUCAGAUGAAGCCAGGCCCUGUGCCAGGAGGGCUGCCAGGACCGGGCCGGUAGGAGGUUCAGGCCAGGGACAUGAAAGUGGUAGGCAAGAGCUGGAGGCACCCGUGGGGUGCCCUGGAGUGAGUAACAGAGAAAGGAAGCAGAGGGCAGCAGGCUGGGAAGGCCAGGCUAUGACUGCACGUUGAGCACGUGGGCAGAGCGCUGGUGGUGCCAGUCCCGGAGACGUGUAUAGCGUGGGCUCUGUAGCUCCAGGACAUACUUUUCCCUGAGGGGCAGAGAAAGAGAGAGAGGAGGAGGAGGAGGAAGUGGAAGGAAGGAGAGAUGGAAGGGAGGCAGGGAGGAUGGAGGGAAGGAAAGGAGGAAGGGACAGAAGAGAGCUCUGGCAGGGGAUGGCCAGGAGCAGCCGAGGGCUGGUGGCUGGAAAGGAAGAAGUGGGAGGUUAGGGAGAGGGGUUAGCGCCCAAGCUUUUACCUUGACUUCUUCAUGAAUUCCUCAUCCGGGUCUUGCACUGAGAGGACAGAGGCAGGCAUUGACCAAGAGAAACAAGGGCCACCCCAGCCAUGAGUCCUGGCAAAGUCAGGCCCAGGCUGAGGUCAGGAGAGUCUGCCCUGUCCUGGGCCAGCACUUACUGAACUCUGUGCCCGUGAGGUGGGCAAGGAUGCGGAAGGAGCGGGACUGGCCUGUCCCCGGCCGCGGCCGCCAGUCUUCGGUAUCCUCCAUCAGCCGCUGCUUGCUGGCAUCGGGGACCGGCUGUCUGAGCAACUGUCUAUGGGAAGGGCAGAGCUCAGAACCUCUGGUUCUGUGGGCACCAGGGGCUGCCCCUCCCAGGACGUGAUGUGCACGGGUUCUGGUGACAGCAGGGGGUUGGGGGGUAGGAGGGUGAGGCAAAGGGUUUGGCUGGGUAGGUGGGUAAAUCAGAGGAGGUCAGGACAGGCAGGACAGGGAGGGGCCACCACCCAGAGUGCCAAAAGGGAGGAAAGUGACAGGAAGAGAGGGCUCACUAACUUGUCAGAGGUCUGCACCUGUGAAGGAAACAGACAGAUAGACAGAUAAAGGGACAGACACAGGAGAAGAAUGACAGGGGGAAUCAGAGUGGUGGAGAGGGAGGCGAGGUAGCAACGAGUUUGUGAGACUCAGCUGGCCCACAGCACAGGCUAACCCCAGGCUGCUCAGCAGGGCAGAGCCUGUGGAAGAGCAGUAGCCCCACCCGGCCGCCAGGGGUUGCUGCCACACGGUUAAGGGGCUGGGGUCCGGCACAGACUGAGCGGUAGCAGGCAGCUUGUGUGUGUGCUUGUGAAAGGACCAGACAGUGUGCAGAGGUUGGAGUGGAUGGGCAGGGGCUGACAUACCCAUUCUGCCGCAGGGUGCUGUCAGUAGGUGGGGGUGCCCCGAAGGGCCGGGCCGUCUUGUUGAGGGAGGCGCUUGGUGCAAAAGUGUACCUCGGGGGGUCGGCGGGAGGGGUCAGGGCCUGGGCAGAGACAGAGCCGGGCAGGGUGGGUGGGUGGGUGGGAGUUGAGGCUGAGGUGGGAGCGGAGUCACCACCACCAAGAACAGUGACAGGUCCGGCCCACUCUUACACAUCUGGCCAGAGGCUAGGAUGAAGGGGUAGUAACUACGACUUCAAGGGGCCCAUUGGGAAGUGAUGAAUUCAACCCGCUCUGGACCAAGGGUGACCAAGGGUGGGUAGGCACACACAGCACAGGCUUGUGGGAAGAAGCAGGCAGACAGAUAGGCAGGCAGGCACGUGUGGCGCCCGGACCGUGCGGCAGCUCCUAGCUCCACUCUCAUGUUCCCCAGACCCUGCCUGUUCUGGCGUCUGCCCUUAGCCAGAGAGAGGGUCCCAAGGCUGGGCCAGGGGUGGUAGGUUAGCCCAGGCUAAGCCCCUCCCUCUCUCAGCCAGGACAUCUCCUGUAUAACCUACCUUCUGUGGUUUGCUCUGAACAGGCUGGGCUCUGGAGAAGAAGAGAGACGCAGUCACAGCAGGUAAGAGACCAGAGGCUAUCCACACCCCUUCUGCCUGUCAGCACCUGUACCUGCUAAGACCCAGGCUGAGGCGCUCCCCACAGGCGCGGAUCUUGUUCUGGGCUUCGAUGUGCGUGAGGCUGCCCGCGUUCUCACCGUCAAUAUUCAGUACCCAGUCUCCCACAGCCACACCGGCCUGUGCAGCUUUGCCUCCGGGCGUGAGCUGUAGAGAAGAAUGGUCAGAGGUCCAUGGGUGCAUAACCAAGCUGCACACUCCCUCACAGUCCAGAUGCUGUUGGUAAACAGCCACCUUCAGGUUAGAGCCCACACUCGCAGGCUAGGACCAUAGCCUUUGACAGCUAUGUUUUCUGAGGCCUCAAUAGGCUGUUUUACCCACCAGCCUGCCCUC
rnacentral:lncRNA from 1 species